CGGACGGGUGAGUAAUGUCUGGGAAACUGCCCGAUGGAGGGGGAUAACUACUGGAAACGGUAGCUAAUACCGCAUAACGUCGCAAGACCAAAGAGGGGGACCUUAGGGCCUCUUGCCAUCGGAUGUGCCCAGAUGGGAUUAGCUAGUAGGUGGGGUAAUGGCUCACCUAGGCGACGAUCCCUAGUUGGUCUGAGAGGAUGACCAGCCACACUGGAACUGAGACACGGUCCAG
rnacentral:rRNA from 1 species